rnacentral:rRNA from 1 species
AACGCGAAGAACCUUACCCAGGCUCGAAAUGUAGGUGGCGAUACCAGAGAUGGUAUUUUCCGUAAGGACGCCUAUAUAGGUGCUGCAUGGCUGUCGUCAGCUCGUGCCGUGAGGUGUUGGGUUAAGUCCCGCAACGAGCGCAACCCUUAUCAUUAGUUGCCAACGCGUAAUGGCGGGAACUCUAAUGAGACUGCCUAGGUUAACUAGGAGGAAGGUGAGGAUGACGUCAAGUCCGCAUGGCCUUUAUGUCUGGGGCUACACACGUGCUACAAUGGUCGGUACAGAAGGCAGCGAAAUCGUAAGAUGAAGCAAAUCCCAAAAGCCGGCCUCAGUUCAGAUUGUGGUCUGCAACUCGACCACAUGAAGUUGGAAUUGCUAGUAAUGACGAGUCAGCAACAUCGUCGUGAAUACGUUCCCGGGCCUUGUACACACCGGCUAC